CCGGCACGGGUGAGUAACGCGUAUGCAACUUGCCUAUCAGGAGGGGAUAACCCGGCGAAAGUCGGACUAAUACCGCAUGAAGCAGGGGCCCCGCAUGGGGGAUAUUUGCUAAAGAUUCAUCGCUGAUAGAUAGGCAUGCGUUCCAUUAGGCAGUUGGCGGGGUAACGGCCCACCAAACCGACGAUGGAUAGGGGUUCUGAGAGGAAGGUCCCCCACAUUGGUACUGAGACACGGACCAA
rnacentral:rRNA from 1 species